rnacentral:lncRNA from 1 species
UGCCGCUGCUCUGACUUUCUCAAUGGAACCUCAUGGGUGGUGAAAUGACUUGAGAAAAUCUGAUCCAAAACUACUUAAAGAUAAAAAGUCAUCUGGGAACAUUGGUCAGAUGCUGAUAGUGAUUAACUUCUAGGUUUUUAAUCAGAAAAUUAUAGCGAUGUAACUUUAACUUUUCAUAAACUACACUCUACAUGCAAAUUCACAAGCCAGUUCACAUAAGCUCAGAUAAGAUCUCUGUAUUUCGCAAAAUAAUAUGGGCAACAAUUAAAAUUAAUAGUGGAAGUACUAGAAUUGCUUUGUUUCCUCUCUUCUGAGCAAUAAGAACGCUUCUGUUCUCUGCAUGCACAGAGGAGAACACAUGUAAAUUCAAACACUUCUGCUGUUAUUGAUGAUUUCAUCCCACAGCUCUGUGAUCUUCUGUCUUGUCGCCAUCUGCACGAAGGUUUCUUUGCAGCUGCCUGAUUUCCCUCAUCCCUGUGGGCUGUGCUGAGGGUGGUUGGAUCCCCCUGCCUGGGGUCCCCAAAGUAUGGGAUGUGAGCAGGUGGCCCUGGGACUGCAGGCACUGAGUCCAGGGUCGCCAACCAGCAGGCCAGGCUGCCCAGAGCCACAUCCAGCCUGGGAAGAUGGAUGUGAAGAUGGAGAUGUCCUGGAGGAGGAAGGAGACUUCCAAAAGUCUCAGGAAGAACACACUGGUAUCUGAUGAGGCAGUGCAGGAAUCGUUACCCAGCUGCAGAUGCUUCUUCUGCCCUGUCUCGUGUUGGAAGAACCCCUCAUGGCUGUGCUCACUCCUUCUCUACGGUGGUUUUAACACCAGGACUUCCACACUGCUGUGGCUGAGGCAACAAGAAAGGCCACAACCUAACUGUACUUUAAGUAACCAGGUAAUGCUUCAGUAUCUCAAUUACUUCUUGUGAAGCAGCUUCCAUCGUAUCUGAAAGAUGAGUUAUAAUUUGGGGACUGGCCUUAGUAACCUUUGGAGGUCCCUUCCAACCCCUGUGUUUCUGUGAUUAUCAGUUGUGGAUAAACAGAACUGGCAGCUGAAUGAGGUACAGGGGCUUAAAUGAUGUGCUGAGCUUGGGAAUGAUCUGAGGUUGGCACAUCUCUACAACAGUGGUUUCAAUUUAUGUUCUUCAAGCAUGUUUUUCCUGGAGAACACACAGGCCCACACAGUGAUGGAUGGGGCAUGCUGUCAUUUUGAGUCACCAGUAUUUUGGGAUGGAAUAGGGAAGCUCCUUAAAAGCAGACAGUAUCACUUUUACUGCUUUGUUUUCAUGGGCGAAUGUUGCUUUGAGACUCAUGUAAGCUCUGUGUCUUAUUUGGUACCAAAAGCGUGCUGUGAAAUUUCAUUUCAAAGUACUCUCAGGGUCAUUUAUACACAUAUAAUGG